ACAUAAGAUGUGUAGUUGAUGUAAAUAUGGACAUAAAGCAAUACGUUGGCUUUCCGUGGGCAUGCAAGGAGGGUCAGGAUGCCCUCAAAGGAAUCUAUUAAUAUGG
rnacentral:snoRNA from 1 species